UAGACAAGUAAAUAGUGACAAUGGAGUAUUCACGUAAUCCAUUCUUUUAACCAAAUAAUAAAGUGGCAAAUUAGUCUAGAUUUCAAAUAUACCUUAAAUCAAAAUUGAAAUCCUAAAUACAAGUAGAUAUAAAUUAGUUUAUAGUCAAACAUUCCUUCUUCUUUUUUAAAUAUAUUUAUAUUCAAACAUUCCAAAUUAUAAAUUAGCAAAUUUUAUUUAUUCCCUUAAUUUCAUUUACUCCCUAUAUAUAUCUCCCAAAACAUAGCAUACAAGUAUCCAAUGAAAAGAAAAACAUCAUUAUCUAUUGAGAUAUAGUAUACAAAAUGGAGAAGACAUCAAUUGUUUUGCUCUCCCUUAUUGCCUUGAUAAUUUUGUUAGGUUCACCAUCGUGUAUGGCAGCAACGUGUAAAACAUCAAAAGAUUGUGAUCCUAGAGGUUGUGGAAGUCGAGGUAUGCUAUGCCUUAAUGGAGUUUGUGUGUGUCCCUCUGAAAUAAGGAAGAAUGGCUGCACCAAAGAUAGUGAUUGUGUAAGCCUAUGUCCUCCUAAAACUUUGCCAUCUUGUAAUAAAGGAAUUUGCUUUUGUGGACAUCAUGUAUAACCUAAUACAUGUUUGAGUUAUAAGAGAACAUUUUUUUUAUAUCAUUAAUAGUUAUCGA